rnacentral:rRNA from 1 species
UACGGAGGGUGCAAGCGUUGCUCGGAAUUAUUGGGCGUAAAGGGCAGGUAGGUGGUCUCAUUUGUCUGGGGUGAAAGCCUCGAGCUUAACUCGAGAAGUGCCCCAGAAACGGUGAGACUAGAGUUCUGGAGAGGGUCGUGGAAUUCCUAGUGUAGCGGUGAAAUGCGUAGAUAUUAGGAGGAACACCAGAGGCGAAGGCGGCGACCUGGACAGAUACUGACACUCAACUGCGAAAGCGUGGGGAGCAAACAGG